rnacentral:rRNA from 1 species
UGGGGAAUAUUGCACAAUGGGCGCAAGCCUGAUGCAGCCAUGCCGCGUGUAUGAAGAAGGCCUUCGGGUUGUAAAGUACUUUCAGCGGGGAGGAAGGGAGUAAAGUUAAUACCUUUGCUCAUUGACGUUACCCGCAGAAGAAGCACCGGCUAACUCCGUGCCAGCAGCCGCGGUAAUACGGAGGGUGCAAGCGUUAAUCGGAAUUACUGGGCGUAAAGCGCACGCAGGCGGUUUGUUAAGUCAGAUGUGAAAUCCCCGGGCUCAACCUGGGAACUGCAUCUGAUACUGGCAAGCUUGAGUCUCGUAGAGAGGGGUAGAAUUCCAGGUGUAGCGGUGAAAUGCGUAGAGAGCUGGAGGAAUACCGGUAGCGAAGGCGGCCCCCUGGACGAAGACUGACGCUCAGGUGCGAAAGCGUGGGGAGCAAACAGG